rnacentral:lncRNA from 1 species
ACACACCCACACGCAGAGAUGACAGCAAAAAUGCACUUCCCUUCAUCAACAACAUCAUUGUCUUUGCUUAUAACCAAUUUCUGCUUGCUCUUGGUUCUAAUCUCCCUGUUCCUUCCAGGGGCCUAUGGCCGUAAGUGAUUUUUCUUUUUGGUGCUCCAAGCUUCUAAUGAUGGAGGAGGACAUAAACUGAGGAUCAUGGUUCCAUGAAACUGUAGCUGGCAUGACAUAGCAUGAG